AUUGAACGCUGGCGGCAGGCCUAACACAUGCAAGUCGAGCGAGCGGCGGACGGGUGAGUAAUGUCUGGGAAACUGCCUGCGGGAGGGGGAUAACUACUGGAAACGGUAGCUAAUACCGCAUACCAUCAGAUGUGCCCAGAUGGGAUUAUCUAGUAGGUGGGGUAACAGCUCACUUAGGCGACGAUCCCUAGCUGGUCUGAGAGGAUGACCAGCCACACUGGAACUGAGACACGGUCCAGCCUCCUACGGGAGGCAGCGGUGGGGAAUAUUGCACAAUGGGAGCAAGCCUGAUGCAGCCAUGCCGCGGGGGGGAAGAAGGCCUUCGGGUUGUAAAGCACUUUCAGCGGGGAGGCGUUACCCGCAGAAGAAGCACCGGCUAACUCCGUGCCAGCAGCCGCGGUAAUUA
rnacentral:rRNA from 1 species